UUGAUUGGAGCAGGAGAGAGAUGAGAAGAAGAGGGGCGAUGUGGAAUAGAGAGAACUUAGAGAAAUUGAGGGGGGGAUUUCAUUUCUUUUGUGAAAAAUGAAAAAAAAUAAGGGAGAUUAAUCUCAAGAAAGUGAGAGUUCUGAUACACUGGAGAGUCGGGAGGAAGUGGACGUGCGAGGGCUAUUGAGGGAUAGUGCGCUAUUUUUCCAAAAAAAAUAACUUUCCGCAUAUGUGAUAAGGACCUUAUCUACGGGAAUUCAAGCGAGAAGGGGUCAGCUUUACGUAAACUGUAUACAUUUUGAAAGAUUUCCAAUGUGAUCCAAAAUUACUUUAGCUUUUGUACCCAUUAUCACUUUUGAUGAGUCCAAACAUACUCCCAAACAUGGACUAAAUAUGCUUGCAAUUCCCUCAAGUGACAGAAUUAGCAUAUAUAAUUAGCAACAUCAUGUGAAAACAAUGCAAUGUUGACCUACUUUUCGGGUCUUUGGUUAGGCCUUGAUGUAAUUGGGUGUUUGUAAUCUUUUUGUAUCUUAAAUAAGAAACUUUGAGAAAUUCAUUUGGGGUUGAUCAUAUGCAAAUCUGAGUCUAGAUUUCUUAUACAAUGUUGCCUCUCAUUAUUUUUUGAAUUAUAUUUUUAAAGAUAAGAUGAUUUUUAUUUUUGUUUCAAAAUUAUAUAAGUUGCUUGUGUUAGGGUGGCAUCCAUCUGGCUUGCAUAGUUACUGUAACAACCUAAAACCUUACCCAAAAUGGCUAGGCGAAAGAUAUUAUUUGGGUUCCUUGAUCUU
rnacentral:lncRNA from 1 species